rnacentral:rRNA from 1 species
UACGUAGGCAGCGAGCGUUGUUCGGAAUUACUGGGCGUAAAGAGUGUGUAGGCGGUGCUCUAAGUUCGGUGUGAAAUCUCCCGGCUUAACUGGGAGGGUGCGCCGGAAACUGGAGUGCUCGAGCGUGGGAGAGGAAAGCGGGAAUUCCUGGUGUAGCGGUGAAAUGCGUAGAUAUCAGGAGGAACACCUGCGGUGUAGACGGCUUUCUGGACCAUUGCUGACGCUGAGACACGAAAGCGUGGGUAGCAAACAGG